ACCUCACGCUUUCAAGGCAGGUGGUGCCACCACUGAGCUAAAUCCCUGGCCCUUACCAGCCACUUUUCAAUCUUUAGAUAUCUAACUCAACUACUUCAUGGAGCACUUGGGCCAACUUUGUCCAGCUGAGAAAGCAGGACUACUGAGUGGCGGAGAGAGAAUCACCCUCCAGUACAUUCUGCAGUCCACCUACUCUGAGGAAGAAGAAAAAUGUCAGUGACUUGAGGCAAUGUUCUCCAAAUAAUCAGUGAACAAAAUAGUUUAGAGUGUAUGAACCUGACUGAUUUUUUAAAAUCACAGGAUCUCACUAUGUAGUCCAGGCUGGUCUCGAACUCACGAUCCUCCUGCCUCCUACCUCCCAAGUGCUGGGAUUAUAGGCAUGUACCACUGUGCCCAGUGACUGACUCUACUUCUGACCUGCUUCUGCUAAGCACGCUUGGCUGCUGAGAACCAAGUGGUUUCAUCUGGUCCCCAGGACCUGAGGCUGGUCUCCACAUUGACUUCACUUGGGCAUCAAGACCACCAUGAAAGGAAUAUGAAAGAGUGUUUCUGACCCUGGGCCGAGCAAUCAAUUAAUCCGGACAUGGUGGUGUUGCUACAUCUGUUCCCUGAGGCUGAAAAUAGUGAUGUUACUUGCUUAGGUAAGAAGAGCAAUUCUUGACUCCAGUAGUCUUCCUUCUUUCCUUCCUUCCUUUCUUUCUUUCUUUCUGUCUUUCUCUUUCUCUCUUUCUCUCUUUCUUUCCUUCCAGCUUGGAAUACACAGGGAGACCCAGUCUAAAAUAAAAUUGUUUCACUUGUUGCCUUUUAGUUUUUAAUGUGACUAGGAGAAAAUUUAGUGACAUGCAUGUCUUGCAUGUGUGAUUUGUGUGACAUUUCCAUUGGUUAGCCUUACAGUUGCCUCUGGCCACGAAGGCUGUAGGAGUUAAGAAGAGACCCAGAGCUGCAGAGGGACCUUAGGGGCCUUAGGUCCUGUCCCUCAUGGGCAGAAAGAGAAACUGAGGCUGGUGUCCGGCUGUCCCUGCCGCCACUCACCUGGGCCAGUGACUUCUCCUGGGAUGGGCUCAGGUCACCCACUUGUGCACUCACGCUGCUUACGGGGUCAGGGAUGGGAUCCAGCUCACUGCUCUUGGGUCUAAGCCUGCUCUGUGGCUCCUUCCAGCCUGCGUGCCUUUUGCCCAGCUGACAGCCCCACCCACACCUACUUCUGUGCAGAAGACCUGCCUCUUCCUAUUGGGCUUCAAGUCCCCACCCGAGGGUGAUUGACAGGGCCCAUUCCUCACUAGGGGCCCAAGGCACUGGUCCCUGGGCGCUAAUCCUCAUUUGUAAAACAAGCAGUCUCACCUGCCUCACCACACUGAUGUGGGCACGGCAAAAUGGACACCACCUGUUUUCACCCACGUGGAGCUACUCUCCACCCUACCUCUCAGUCCCUUGUCGCCGACUUCUGUGGUCCCAUUAGAUGCCUCCUUAAGACAAGUCAGGCCACCUCCCACAGCAGCAAAGUCCUGGAAGUCACUGUCAUCACAUAGAAUGGGAUCAAAAUAUAUGGCGAAUGUUUAAGUUUUUAAAAAGUUAGCACGGUAGAAAGACACAUUAUCAUUAAUCCCCCUCAAAAAUAACCCCCUUACUCUGAAAACUCUUUUUCCCGUGGUUCUUGCUACUUUCUGGAACAGUUCUGGACGUUCUCUUUUGUGAGGGUUCUUUACAAGAAGUGAUCAAAAAUAUGCUGGAAACUGCUGCUGUGUGUCACCUAACGGAAAGCUAAGCUUGUAAAAGCAUUACAGUGUGUCCUUGUCCACCUUCUUCAUGGGAUCUGGCACAGUGGGAUUCGGGGCUCUUCUCAAAGUCAAAAUGACCAAGACAUGUAAACACUGACUUGAUUCAGGACACCCAGACGGCUACACGAGUACUCUGGAGACGUUCAGGAAAGAGGACUUUCAGAACUGCUUCAGAGAGUGGCAAGGACUAUUGGAUAAAUGUGUUCAAAGCAAGGGGAAGUAUUCUGAGGGAGAUGAAUGGCAAUAUGUCUUUUACUGUUAAUGAAUUUUGAAAAAUGGAAACAUUCAUCCGAUUUUUGUGUCAUACCUUGUACUCCAACAUGGCCCGGGUUCUAUCUAACACCGGAUGGAUCCAGAGCAACCGCCCAUGAUUCAUCACAGCUGCUGGGGCACCUGGCUUCAGUGUUGGGGAAGACUCUUCCCAGGCCCAGACCCAAGCAGGUGAACGUGAGACUCUGAGCUGAACCACAUCUGCCUGGAGGCCUGGACGAGAGGGUGUCUUUUUCUUCUGCACAACCUUCUCUUUUCAGAGGUUCAGAGACGAUUUCGGUAAAGUUCAUCUCAUUGUGGCAUGGGGAGCUCACGUGUGGGUUACUCUGAACGCGAACAUGAUAAAUACGGUACAUCUCAGCUGCUCUUCUCACUCGGAUGUGUUCGUUAUCCAGAGAAUUUACAUCAAAACCCUGAAGUUCAGCACAUUACUCUGCCUUUUGAAGCACAUGUGGCAGAAAUUUAGCACUUUUGUUGGCCAUCAA